UACGUAGGUGGCAAGCGUUGUCCGGAAUUAUUGGGCGUAAAGGGCGCGUAGGCGGUUAUUUAAGUCAGGUGUGAAAACUCUGGGCUUAACCGAGAGAUUGCAGUUGAUACUGGGUAACUUGAGUGCAGGAGAGGACAGUGGAAUUCCUAGUGUAGCGGUGAAAUGCGUAGAUAUUAGGAGGAACACCAGUGGCGAAGGCGGCUGUCUGGACUGUAACUGACGCUGAGGCGCGAAAGCGUGGGGAGCAAACAGGAUUAGAUACC
rnacentral:rRNA from 1 species